AGCAGCCGCGGUAAUUCCAGCUCCAAUAGCGUAUAUUAAAGUUGUUGCAGUUAAAAAGCUCGUAGUUGAAUUUCGGGGUCAGUAGGUCGGUCGUGCCACUGGUAUGAACUGGUUUUACUGAUUCCUCCCUCUUGAAGAACUGUAAUGCCAUUAAUUUGGUGUUGCAGGGAAUCAGGACUGUUACUUUGAAAAAUUAGAGUGUUUAAAGCAGGCUUUAGCUUGAAUACAUUAGCAUGGAAUAAUGAAAUAGGACGUUUAGAUCCUAUUUUGUUGGUUUCUAGGAUUGACGUAAUGAUUAAUGGGAUAGU
rnacentral:misc_RNA from 1 species